rnacentral:lncRNA from 10 species
UUCCUUUGCUUUCCUAGUAAACUUGCUUUCACUUUACUCUAUAGAUUCACCUCAAAUUCUUUCUUGCGUGAGAUCCGGGAACCCUCUUUUGGGGUCUGGAUCAGGACCCCUUCCUGGUAUAGUUCCGCAGAGCUAUAAGAAGCAAAGAAGGGCUGGAUGACGGAGGCCUGGAUGGCAUUCUGAGCUACAGAAAGGAAGAGGAGUUGGGGUUUCUGGGUGUGAUGGAGACAAGUUUUGGGGUGGUCCAGGAAGAAUGGGUCUGGUGAACAAACGUUGCCUUGUUAUGCGGAAGAAAGCCUGCAGGUGAUGGGAGCAGAUAAUUCAGAAGCAGGGGACCGAGAAACCCAAGUCUGUCCGACGAGCAGAUGUAAAAGCCAUUCUUGGUUCCAGGGCC